UGAAAGAUGCAUGAUCAAUUUUGACCAAUGGCAGCGGAGGAUUCUACGCUACAAAACAGACAACGCAGCAUUCCUUUCUUUGGAUAAAUGUCAGCAGAUUAGAUUGGUCAAUGCUUGUAAAUCCACGUUGAAACCCAAGAAAAAAAAAACGAAAUAAAAUAUGUCGACGAGAAAAGAAAAUCAUUUUUAAAUGCAAAAUGCAACUUUCAACAACUUGAAAAAAUCUACUCAAAUAUAGGUGGAUGUAAA
rnacentral:lncRNA from 1 species